UCGGGGGGUGGCACAGACCAGGGGGUAGCGACUGUUUACCAAAAACACAGGAGCGUGCGAAGGCGCAAGCCGCUGUAUACGCUCUGACGCCUGCCCGGUGCCGGAAGGUUAAGAGGAUCCGUCAGGCUUCGGCCGAAGCGGUGAAUUCAAGCCCCGGUAAACGGCGGUGGUAACUAUAACCAUCCUAAGGUAGCGAAAUUCCUUGUCGGGUAAGUUCCGACCUGCACGAAUGGCGUAACGACUUCCCCACUGUCUCGACCAGGAGCUCGGCGAAAUUGCAGUACGAGUAAAGAUGCUCGUUAAGCGCAGAAGGACGAAAAGACCCCGGGACCUUUACUAUACCUUGGUAUUGGCAUUCGGUGUGGAUUGUGUAGCAUAGGCGGAAGGCUUCGAAGCCACGGCGCCAGCCGCGGUGGAGCCGCAAGGUGAAAUACCGCUCUGUUCGCAUUGGAUGUCUAACCUCGACCAGUCAUCCUGGUCAGGGACAGUGCCUGGCGGGUAGUUUAACUGGGGCGGUUGCCUCCCAAAGAGUAACGGAGGCGCUCAAAGGUUCCCUCAGCCCGGUUGGCAAUCGGGUGGCGAGUGUAAGUGCACAAGGGAGCUUGACUGCGAGACUGACGGGUCGAGCAGGGACGAAAGUCGGAACUAGUGAUCCGGUGCCGGUGUACGGACGCGGCAUCGCUCAACGGAUAAAAGGUACCCCGGGGAUAACAGGCUGAUCAUUCCCAAGAGUCCAUAUCGACGGGAUGGUUUGGCACCUCGAUGUCGGCUCGUCGCAUCCUGGGGCUGGAGCAGGUCCCAAGGGUUCGGCUGUUCGCCGAUUAAAGCGGCACGCGAGCUGGGUUCAGAACGUCGUGAGACAGUUUGGUCUCUAUCCUCUGCGCUCGUCGGAAUGUUGAGGAGGCCUGCCCAUAGUACGAGAGGACCUGGGUGGACGAACCUCUGGUAUGCCGGUUGUCACGCCAGUGGCACGGCCGGUUGGCUACGUUCGGAAGGGAUAACCGCUGAAAGCAUCUAAGCGGGAAGCCUGCUCCAAGAUAAGCAUUCCAUAGGACUACGGGUCCUUGAAGUCCCCAUGCAGAACACGUGGUUGAUAGGCCGGACGUGGAAGCCCCGCGAGGGGUGGAGCCGACCGGUACUAACGGACGAAAGGCAACACAAC
rnacentral:rRNA from 1 species